GCUCUUAGGAGUUGUAGACUAGGUUUGCAAGUCUCAUCUUCUCACAAUUCUCACUGGCCUUAACUGUACGGUGUAGAGGACUGAGUCGUUUACUUUGAGAAAAUUAGAGUGUUCAAAGCAGGCUAUCGCCUUGAAUAUAUUAGCAUGGAAUAAUAAUAUAGGACUUUGGUUCUAUUUUGUUGGUUGUUCGAGGACCGAAGUAAUGAUUGAUUAGGGACGGUUGGGGGCGUCCAGUAUUCUGAAGCGAGAGGUG
rnacentral:rRNA from 1 species